rnacentral:rRNA from 1 species
AUUGAACGCUGGCGGCAUGCCUUACACAUGCAAGUCGAACGGUAACGGGCCUUCGGGUGCCGACGAGUGGCGAACGGGUGAGUAAUGUAUCGGAACGUACCUUUCAGUGGGGGAUAACGUAGCGAAAGUUACGCUAAUACCGCAUAUUCUGUGAGCAGGAAAGCAGGGGAUCGCAAGACCUUGCGCUGAUUGAGCGGCCGAAAUCAGAUUAGCUAGUUGGUGAGGUAAAGGCUCACCAAGGCGACGAUCUGUAGCGGGUCUGAGAGGAUGAUCCGCCACACUGGAACUGAGACACGGUCCAGGCUCCUACGGGAGGCAGCAGUGGGGAAUUUUGGACAAUGGGGGCAACCCUGAUCCAGCCAUGCCGCGUGAGUGAAGAAGGCCUUCGGGUUGUAAAGCUCUUUCGGCCGGGAAGAAAUCGUAUCAGCUAAUACCUGGUGCGGAUGACGGUACCGGCAUAAGAAGCACCGGCUAACUACGUGCCAGCCGCCGCCGUAAGAC